CAGCAGCCGCGGUAAUACGUAGGUGGCAAGCGUUGUCCGGAAUUAUUGGGCGUGAAGCGCGCGCAGGUGGUUUAAUAAGUCUGAUGUGAAAGCCCACGGCUCAACCGUGGAGGGUCAUUGGAAACUGUUAAACUUGAGUGCAGGAGAGAAAAGUGGAAUUCCUAGUGUAGCGGUGAAAUGCGUAGAGAUUAGGAGGAACACCAGUGGCGAAGGCGGCUUUUUGGCCUGUAACUGACACUGAGGCGCGAAAGCGUGGGGAGCAAACAGGAUUAGAUACCCGAGUAGUCCCUGUCUCUUAUAC
rnacentral:rRNA from 1 species